CUGCCUGACCCAUGGCACAGCCGCUAUGCCUCUUCAUGAUCUUGUCUUCCCCUAGCAAAUGCAGGGCACCUGGAAAGCCGCACAAGGAGAAAGCAGAACCGCUGUCUGCCUGGAUCCCUGGAGGACCACGUGUAAGAGAGUUGACUUGCUACCCUGGACACAAGUCAAGAAGUGUUCAUUGAAAAGGAAAUCAUUUUCUUAUUUUUUAAGACAUUAACAUUUCAAGAUCUGUGUGUAAUCUCUUCCUAGCGUACCACAGCGAUGACAGAACGUGGUAUACUGAAGUGCAGUAUCUGCAGCAUCAAAAAUCUAAAGUAGACGGCAUCGGCUUAGCGUUCGCUGAUAAGCACGGGACAAUGCCACACGCCACAUUCGGGAAAGAUGAAUCUGGGUGAAGCAGCGGAGGCAGCCACAGUGGAGGCUUGCGCUGUGCAGGGAAGAGCCAAACUACGAAUGUGUGAACUGCUUGCUCCUUGUCACAGCCCACAUUUACAAGAAAGAGGUCCCUGGACCAAGGGGAUCCAUAUUUGGACCUGAAAGAGGACUGAGCAUCUUCUGGAAAUCCUGAACAUUGAGCUGGAUGGGACCUUGGUUGUCUCUCCUGGUAAGGCUCUUUUAACUUGCUACGUGAGACCAAGGUAGAAGCAGUGUCCUGGAAAUGAAAAGCAGGUGCCUGGGACGCAAAGGAGGCUUUGAUUGGAGGUGGCUUCAAAGAGUGCUCUGCACAAAUGAUGCCCUGUUCUCUGCCCUGCUUUCUGUCCUCACAUUUAAACACUGAAUGCUUGGGUGGCACCUCUCGACCCAGAUAUGCCUUGACACAUGGGAAGGUGGCUCUUCAAAGUUACCGGGUCAAAAACAUCCAAUUCAAGGAGUGUCUGACACUGUUCUUUUAUUCAAUAUCGUUUUGGUGAAUUGAAUUGGUAAAGAAAGAAAAUAAUACUCAUGGACUUGAAUCCAAUCAGCUCUGUAUUGCAGCAAAAUAACUUUCCAGUUAAUCCGUUACCAUUUUGUGUGCUUGCCUCUGCCUGGAUUUGGCCAUAGACUUUACAAUCAGGGAUUUGGGGGGUUAUAUUUUAAUUAUGGCCAUAAAAUUAUUUAGUUUUUGGUUUUAGGAAAUAAAAAUAGCUUCAAGGUGAGUUUUGGCUGUCUCGACCUUUCAUGUGAGCUGUCCAAGGGAAAUAGACAACUUUCUGGAUUCACCUUAACAUCAUUCCUACUAGUCGUUAGCAUCUUUAGCAGACUUUCCUGAAACUUUGAAGUCAGUGUGUGUUUGUGCACACACACGUGUGUCUCUGUGUACAGACUGUGUCACAUUACUGUGGAGCAACAAUGCAAUUUAAAACAAAAAAUUGUGGCAGUUCUGGUUGUGGGUAAAAUGGAGUAAGCACACUCCACCCUGUCUCUCCCACUGAAGAAAGAAAGAAAAAAAAAAAACCACAGGCAGGAUGUAUGGAACAGCCAUUUGAUGAUUCAGAAAAGUAAACAGUAGCAGGCAGAUUGGAAAAUAAAUGUCAGUAUUAAAAGUACUGAAUACCGAAUUCAAUAUCACCUGCAGGCAUUGAGUUCCCCACUCUGGACUCCUGCACCCUGAACUCAGUACAUCCUGGAACCCCAAAGUGUCCACCUGAGUACAGACAGAGAGAACCCCAGGAGCACCGUCUAGUUAGACAAGGUGCUUAUGGAAACUCAGAAGGGUGAUGAAAUUGUUCACUUCCCCUUUUCUCUUUACGCUGUUCUCCCAUGCUCCCAAGCAAUACAGUGGUGGCAAGACAGCAGCUGCCACAGGAGUCCCUAGGAGCCAAAACUACCUAGGAGGGAUGCCUUCCUCUCCUGUGAAAGAAACUGUGCUCUCAGGAGGGUGGGGAAAACCCUCUUUGCUUUUCUUCUCUUUGUCUGCUCCUCCUGCUUGGCUUAAUCUGUGAGAGCAGUUGCAGGAAUGGGUGGUGGAGUGGGAUAACUGGCUGAGGAAUAAAGAGAAAGCUGAAAUGUACCAAGAAGCUUGUGGAGAGGCAGGAGCUUGGGAAAGUGACCUCAGGGCUGUUUGUCAAUGCCUGGACUCCUACUCAAGACGUGCCUAUGUAUAUCUGAUCUUAAAUGGUAUAUGUAGAUAUUGAGAACUGAGCUGUAAAAUAGUCUAUUCUUCAAAUAUCAGACUUGCUACUGGGUGCUGAACACAUGGAAUACAUUAAAUAGCUUUGCAAAAUUUUUGAAAAUGAAACUGAUCCUUGAGCCACAACCAACCAAAACCUGUUGGAACUGCAGGCCUGAAUUCAGCUGAGGCAAUUGCUAACGAAAACAAAAACAUCAACAUUUUUGAUGUUUAAAUAGGAUUUAAACACAACUCAGCUUAUCAUAAUGAAAUAUGCAGAACAUCCAGGAUAUAGCCCAAAAUUACUCAGUAUAAAAAGAACCAAGAAAAUCACAAUUUACAAGAAAAUAAACAACAGAUGGCAAUACUAUCAUGAAGCAGAUGUUGGACAUAUCUAACAAAAGCUGUAAAACAGCUAUUAUAAAUAUGCCCCAACAAGUAAGCAUAAACAUUCUUGAAACAAAUGGAAAAGAGGCAACCACAACAAAGAACCAGAAGAUAUAAAGAAGAACCAGAUAACAAUUUUAUAACUUAAAACGAUGAUAACCCAAGUUAUCCACUAAGUAGGAUCAAUAGGAGGCUGGAGAUGACCAAGAAUAGAGUAAUAGAAAUUAACCAAUGUGAAAAAGAGAGGAAAAAAAGAUUAAAAAGAAAAGACAUCUACAACCAAAAACAUGAUGAUAAAAAUGCCAACAUUUAAGAAUAAUAGAAAAAUAUUGAUAGCAUCCAGAGAAGAUGCAUGCAUUUCUUUUGGAAUAACAACAAUUUUAUUAACUGUGGAUUUAUAUUCAUAAAUUAUGAAAGGCAGAGGGAGGUGAAACAACAUGUUUAAAGUGCUGAAGAAGAGAACUAUUUAUGAAAAAUGUAAAUACAGUGAAAAUAUCAUUCAAGAAUAAGGUGAAAUCAAGCUAUCCUAAGGUGAAGGAAAACUGAGACUUUAUUUCUUGCAAACUUACUUUAAAAGAAUUUAUAAAGAAAGUUCUUCAGAAAAAAAAAUAAUGCCAGAAGAAAACUUGGAAACUCAGGAAUGAAAAAUUGGCAAUGAAAAUGAUAACUAACUGGCAAGAUACAAUAGACUAUUUUUUCUACUGAGUUAUUUAAACUAGGUUUGACAAUCAAAAGCAAAGUGGUACCAUUUUCUGAUAAGGGUUUCAAUGUAUGUAGAUGUAAUAGUAAGAUGAUUACAACAUAAAGGGGUGAGAGGAAAGAGACCUGUAUAUUAACAAGAUUUCCCCUUUCCACUUUAAGUGGCAAUUUUAAUAUCAGAUAAAUUAUACUUCACAACAAAGAAAACUCCCAGAGAUAAAGAGGAACAAAACAUAAUAAAAUAUCAACCCACCAAGAAUAUAUAACAUCAUAAACUUGAAUGCACCUAAUAAUAGGUCUUAAAAAUGCAUAAAGCAAAAACUGACAGAAAUGAAAUAAGAAAUAUACUGAUUUGGCUGGGCACUGUGACUCACACCUUUAAUCUCAGCACUUUAGGAGGCCAAGGUGGGCAGAUCACCUGAGGUCGGGAGUUCGAAACCAGCCUGACCAACAUGGAGAAACCCUGUCUCUACUAAAAAUACAAAAUUAGCCAUACAUGGUGGUGCAUGCCUGUAAUCCCAGCUACUCUGGAGGCUGAGGCAGGAGAAUCACCUGAACCCAGAAGGCAGAGGUUGCAAUGAGUGGAGAUGGUGCCAUUGCACUCCAGCCUGGGCAACAAGAGUAAAACUCCAUCUCAAAAAAAAAAACAAAAAAAAGAAAGAAAUAGACUGAUUCACACCGUUGGAGACUUCAAUACUCUUCUGUCAGUGGCAAAUAGUGCUAGUAAACAGAAGCUAAGUGAGCUCUAGAAGAAUGUAAAAACUCCAUCAACCAACUGAAUCUAAUUGUUAUGUAUAGAAUACUUCACUACUGGUGGCAGAAUAAACAUACUUUAAAGGGCACAAGGUGCAAAAUAAGCCAAAUCCUGGAUCAGAAAAAAUAAAUGUAUUUUUAAUUUAUCACAAAAUAGAUUUUAUUUAUCACAAAGCAUCUUCUGUAUCCAUAAUGGAAUUAGGCUAGAAAUGAAUAACGUAAGGUAAUAUGAAACUCAUCAAACACAUAAAAAUUAAAGCACGUAUUAUUAAAGAAACCAUGAGUCACAGAGGAAAACUUUUGAGAAAUUAAAAAAAUUGUGAACUGAAUGAAAAUUAAAAUGCAACACAUAAAAAAAUUAAAUGCAACACAUGAAUUAAAAUGCAACACAUAAAACUGUGUGGGAAGCAGCCAAAGCAGUGGCUUAGAGUAAAAUGUAUAGCACUGAAAGCUGACAUUACAUAAGAAUGGGCAAAAAUCAAUAAUUUAAGUUUUCACCUCAUUUUAGAAAAGUAAAAUUAGCAAUGUUAUUACCAUUAAAAUCAGCACACAAGCAUAAUUUUAAAUUAUUACUACUAAUUUUUUGUUCAAAAUUGUUUUUUCAUAUAACAUCCUGUAAACACAUAUCUAUGAACUCUGUGUAGACAUGCUUCCUUGGAUUUUACGGUUUGGCUUCUCAGAUUUCACUGCAUUCAUAUGAACUUCUGAGAAAUAGGACAGACCAGUUAACAGUUUUCUCAACUACAAAAAAGGAUUUUGAACAAUUUUUAGAGUCACUUAUUGAUAAAAUAAUAUAUAGGUAUGUCUUGUGA
rnacentral:lncRNA from 1 species